rnacentral:misc_RNA from 1 species
CAGAGUUGCAAGACUCCCUAGACCAUUGUGAACCUACCUUCUACCGUUGCUUCGGCGGGCGGGCCCAGCGCCCCCCCGGCCCCCCGCGGGCGCCCGCCGGAGGAUACCCAAACUCUUGACAUUAGUGGCCUCUCUGAGUAUUCUUUACUGAAUAAGUCA